rnacentral:tRNA from 1 species
UGCCCGAUGGUGUAACAGGCAACACAUCCCGGUUUGACCGGGGAGAUUCUUGGUUCGAACCCUUGGCGGGCAA